AGGUGGCAAGCGUUGUCCGGAUUUAUUGGGUUUAAAGGGUGCGUAGGCGGUCCUAUAAGUCAGUGCUGAAAUAUCCCGGCUUAACCGGGAGGGUGGCAUUGAUACUGCAGGACUUGAGUAAAGUUGAGGUUGGCGGAAUUGACGGUGUAGCGGUGAAAUGCUUAGAUAUCGUCAAGAACACCUAUUGCGAAGGCAGCUAACUAAGCUUUAACUGACGCUGAGGCACGAAAGUGUGGGGAUCAAACAGG
rnacentral:rRNA from 1 species